CUCUCGACGUGAACCCAUUUCCCAUUCUCGUUCUCCUCUCAUUCAUUUUCCUCUUUUCCUCCCCUGAUCUAGGGAUUCAGCCACAGUUCGUUGCUAGAUCCAUCAAGUGAGAAGGACGUGGUGAGUAGGAUUUGCGGCAGAGUGUCGUGGUUCCAGUCUCUCGGCGGCGGCCGGUCUUCCAGCUUGACCACACGUGCCUGCUUCUCGCCGCCGCCGUCGACUGGAUGGCCGUGAAGUUUGCCCCCCUUGAACCUGAGCGGUGGCUCUCCUCCAGCUGGUGGAGAUUUUUUCUGGUGUAGAUAAGGAGAUGUUUAUGUUCUCCUCACCUUUCUCUACCUUUUUUUAUCUUUGCAUGGUUUCUUCUUACUCAUAAUUUUCAUGCUCGCCAAAGGGAGAGGGUGUUCUAUGGUGAGGUACUAAUCAGAAGCCGGGAAGGACAAAUGCAGAGAGGUGACCGAUAUGCGCAUGGAGUUUUUUUAGGAUCAAGCGAGCGAAGACUGCCUCAAUUUAUGUAAAAGAGUUCUGAUGUGGUGGUAGUUCUGUCCAUGCAAACGGAAAGCAGAAAGUUCUUUGUGAAUUUUUAUUUCCUUGUCCACAACUCCUCCCAUCGAUGUGAAUGAAAACAACAAGUUGUAUGACCUUAUAAUUCUGCCCUUCAUUUCUUAAGAGGUUUCCGAGGUAUGGUGGAGGCUCUCUUAGUGGUGGCAGAUUGAUUUUUCCCUGUUUGCAACAUAUUCCAAAGAGGGUUUCGUAGUUCCUUUGUUGAAUUUAAUAUUUCUUCACACCAUAGCAAUGAUUUGCAAUAUUAGCAUUUGUAUGUUGGCCUUUCAAACUUCCAUGUCUUUCUAUUAGCACUUGUUGAGGUUGUGGUUCUAUUGUUGUCUCCAACAUUGAUUCUAAUGUUAAUUUUGUUGCUUUCUCUUCCUGUAUGCUUCAAUUCCUUAUCUUCUUUAGCAUUAUCCUUUCUGAAUUUUUUAGGAGCCCAUGUGUUCGUAUUUCUUCUUCCCUCUGCAGUCCUUGUCCGCUUUGUGAUCCUUGAGUUUAGAGCUUGAUAUUUCUUUAUUUUUGUAUGGUGAGCUGCUAGCGCUUACGUAUGUUGGACUGUCAUCUCUGGAAAUUUGAUUUCGUCAGUGACAUGUAGAGUUUUCUUAAUAGUGUGCCACUUCACACAUGUAAGUGCAUUUGGAGAUAUAGAGACUAAUAAUGGAGGUGUCAUGUACAGUACAUCUGGAGAUCAAUAUUGUUUAUCUGGUAUGGCACUGUAAAUCAAUAAGUGUUCAAUUGUGUACCUCCUUUUGUAGCUUUCACACUCCUGUCAUGGUAGUGUGUGGAUGCCUGAAAAAAAACAUGGUUUACAGUUCAGUCUCAGUAGGGUUUUGACAUAGAAGAUUAGAAGCAAGGUUGAGCUGAGAUCAAAUGCUGACAUACCUGAAGAAUUGCAUGUGGAUAUUACCUGAGGUUGAUGGUGUUGAUGUCGUGUCUUCAGUUUGUUGGACGCUUCUUUGUGCCUUCGAUCGUUUGGGCGUCGCAGGCGUAUAUUGGAUGCAAGUUGCUGGAGUUGUUUCCAUGCCUUCGAUUUUUCGGCGGUCUUGUGUGUUCGAUCGUCCUAAAGUCUUGAUAAGAGAGCUAUUAAGAAAGUGCAUCAUGGGUUAGACCCAAGAGUUGAAUGUCGUCUUGUAAAAUUAUUGUUGAAUGAUGAUUAUGUGAUAUAAGCAAAAGGGAUGAGCG